rnacentral:lncRNA from 1 species
AUGAAAGUGACAAGAGCGGGGAAGCUGAGAUAUGUACAGGAAUCGUAAAACAGGGAAAUGAGAAAUGAGUUGGGGAGUAGAUAAGCGGAAGUGGUGGUCUAAAUUGCUGGUUAACAAACCUGCUGUGAAUUAGGAAUGACCUGAGCAUUAAGAAAUCACUGACACUGGGUCCUCACCAAUACACACACGGAAUGAGACGCUUCAGAAUGAGGCCCACGCGUCUGUCUUUUUCGUAGCUCACAUAGAUUUCUGAUGUCCUAUGUCAGCGGAGCUGUGUCUUAGGGAACCACCACUCUGGAGAAACCUGAAGUGGGGGCUCUCACUCGCUUUUUACAGAACUCCAGCAUAGACCACUCUGGGAGUCGAGGGUUGUUUAAAGGGGCUGGCGCGAGGUGAAUAGUUUGCUAGUGAUUCAGGAAAAUGGCAUCAGGAGAGAAAAUUUGGUUCACAAACUAAGAAGGAAAGCCAGUUUAGUACUAACCUCUGUCAUGGGAAUGAAUCUAGCAUGUUGCCUGUCUUUUCAAAAAUGAUGGGAACGUUCCUAGUAGAUCAUUUCCCUCCUGGUGGAAAAGACAUUCCUACUUGAGGUGAAACGAGCAGGAAGCAAAAGGGAACGACAGUAUGCAAUCUGCCCAUCAGCUGAAUAUUUGCUUCUCUCCGGUUACUGUCACAGAAGAUGAUACUUGCAUUUUCGAACAAAGGGGGGGCGGUAAAUAAACUAACGUCAGAGGCAGCUGUGCUUGGGUUGGCCUACGCGGAGCUCCGAAGGGAGCCUCACCAGGAGCUCUGAAGGCCAAAAAGGAGGAAGUUGCAAAGUAAAGUGUCUCUUUCAGGGACAGAAGAAAGCACCAAGGCUUGGUUACCAAGUGAUGGGUAUUCAGCAAAUCCCAAACACGUCUUGGGAUGACAACACGAACGGCCUGAAGCAGGACAAGAGUGUGCCUGCAUGUCCUUGGCUUGGCUCUCCCUCCUCCACGGCUGGCAUUGUGUCUGUGCUAUUGUCCGCUUCACUAAAACGGAAUUAAGGGAGCUGAGUUCUCAACUUGGAAUGGUUCUGUUGAUCUGCAGAGAAAUCAGGACUGAGGUUCGGAGAUGCCCAAAUCAGAGGACAUUGGUUGGAUAAAGAUUGAAAGAUAAUGAUAUCUGAACCUCCCCCAGGACAUUGAAGAAUACCAUUAAGUUGGGCUACCAAAAGGUUGCAGCUGUUCCCUGGCAGAAAUUCAGAGCAACUGUUUCAGAUUGUGCUUUUGCACGAAGAGAGUUGCUCACUAUUGGGCCUUCUUAUUGAAAUGAGACAGUCUGUGCUUCUCCCUGUCUCUGCCUCCUCAAAUUCCUCUGAUUAGGACAAACAGCAUUAUAAGAAGGAAACUCCUAGUCUACUCCCUGCACAUCCUAACAGAUAAACUGAAAAUUCCAGUGUAGUGAAGUAAUUAGGGCUUUUUCUUGAGAUAACUUGUAACCUGCACAACAAAAUCAGUUCAAUACUUUGAUAAACUUAGAGCCUAAACAAUUCUGGUCCUAUGGAGCUUUCUGAGCUUAUCACUCUACCAUUUCUGAUUCUGUCAUUAAACGAGCUCACUUACCUGAUAUUCUUAAGAAGUCCUUAACAUUCCCAGGAUUUUUUUUUUCCUACUUCAUAAUCACUUUCUAGUUCCAAUCUUUUAUUUGGAUGCUAAUUUAACUGACUGGCACUCUUUAAUUAGGUUGGAGGAAUGUAUUAUCCAAAGCAAGAAAGAAGUGAACUAAAUUGGAAUGCACCAUAAAAGGUGGCUCUGUGUUUUUUAAGAAAUGGUGGUAGUAGUGUCGGAGGUGGCUUUUUAUUUUGAUUUUUUGUUCGUUUGUUUUUAGCUGUGGCUACUACUAUGGCUUAGAUCUGAUAAGGUGUGCUGGAAAGCAGCCUCUUCCUUGUCCUAAGCAUUCAGUGAGCAGUUGACAUUCUUGUACAAAUAUUUGAAACUAAACAUUCUUUGAGUUAAAAUAGCAUUGUUGUACUAAUACCCUGUAGAAUGUUUAUUUUGGCAUUUUGGAUUCCUAGCAUCAGUAGUAAAAAAAAAAAAACAUAGACUCCUA